UACGUAGGGUGCGAGCGUUGCCCGGAUUUAUUGGGCGUAAAGGCGCGUAGGCGGCCACGCACGUCCGUUGUGAAAUCGCCCGGCUCAACUGGGCGGGUCAGCGGAUACGGUGUGGCUCGAGCAAGCUAGGGGCAAUGGAAUUCCCGGUGUAGUGGUGGAAUGCGUAGAUAUCGGGAGGAACACCAGUGGCGAAGGCGGUUGCCUGGAGCUUUGCUGACGCUGAGGCGCGAAAGCGUGGGGAGCGAGUCCGG
rnacentral:rRNA from 1 species